UGCCUCCUGGAGUCUUUGCCAGUUUAGUUAUGUCCCUGGCCGAUGCUUUACAACCUGGAAGUUGAUUCCAUUACUAUUGUGCAGGCUCGACCCGUAUCGAGAAGCCUACGGUAGUGAUGAUACUUCCGCCCUGAACUUUCGGUUCACGGGCUUACACUGAACAGCGGGAUUUUGGGAGGCAC
rfam:Paraglaciecola sp. S66 Contig15, whole genome shotgun sequence.